UACGUAGGGUGCGAGCGUUGUCCGGAAUUAUUGGGCGUAAAGAGCCUGUAGGCGGUUUGUCGCGUCUGCUGUGAAAAUCCGGGGCUCAACCCCGGACUUGCAGUGGGUACGGGCAGACUAGAGUGUGGUAGGGGAGACUGGAAUUCCUGGUGUAGCGGUGAAAUGCGCAGAUAUCAGGAGGAGCACCGAUGGCGAAGGCAGGUCUCUGGGCCACUACUGACGCUGAGAAGCGAAAGCAUGGGGAGCGAACAGG
rnacentral:rRNA from 1 species